rnacentral:lncRNA from 1 species
AUAACAUCUUCCUAUGGGUAAAUCACGUGUUAGCUAACCUGGCUGAAAUCAGUAGAUGAGGAUUGAGAGGGGAUGCUCAGGGAUACAACUUUCCAAAUACAUGUUUCCAGAUGAGGGCUGGGGAGCUUUCCUCGAUGUGCAUGUAGCUCAUGCCAUGUUGACGAGUUAACCCAGCUGAGCAGAAGAACAGAGUCAGCUCAGUGGAAGAUCAAGCUAAACCCGAGUGGCACCAAAGCCAGUGUCAUGUACUCAAAGAGCUUCACCUGCAUGGAAUGAUUUUGCAUUGGUUUAACCUACAGUAAACAGCUUGCCCCCUGGCUUAAUCAGGGAAAGGGAGGAGUAGACAGGGAGUCCCAGAUGGGCUGAAUUUAACCUGGAGAUCUAACCUCUGUGGACAGCACCAUGCAGGACUGAAAGAAAAGCUAUGGAAGUUAAAAAAGAGAUCUCCACAAAGGUGAUUUCAUGAACCAGCCCUGAAAGAGAGAAUACUCGUGGAUGAGAGCAGCAAUAAGAUUGCCUGAAUAUCUGUAAUUUAUGGCAGCCCCUUGAUGCUGGAAGAAAUUACAUCACAUCCACAUGAAAAAAAACAACCUAGUGGAAAGAGUGAGAUUCAACAUAAACUUGCAAGCCCUGCUUAUAAUGUGAAGCAACAAUACGUGAACAUACUGUUCUGCUGCUGCUACUCUGGAGAAGGAAUGAGGGUUGCAGUUCCUGGGCUGAGGUGAAAGACCCUCUCUUGCCAACAGAGAGACUUCAAC